ACAAGCGGUGGAGUAUGUGGUUUAAUUCGACGCAACGCGCAGAACUUACCUGGUCUUGACAUCCCGAGAAUUUCCUGGAAACAGGAAAGUGCCUCGCAAGAGGAACUUGGUGACAGGUGCUGCAUGGCUGUCGUCAGCUCGUGUCGUGAGAUGUUGGGUUAAGUCCCGCAACGAGCGCAACCCUUGUCUUUAGUUGCCAUCAUUAAGUUGGGCACUCUAAAGAGACUGCCGGUGUCAAACCGGAGGAAGGUGGGGAUGACGUCAAGUCCUCAUGGCCUUUAUGACCAGGGCUACACACGUACUACAAUGGCAGGUACAAAGGGCAGCCACUUAGCGAUAAGGAGCGAAUCCCGUAAAACCUGUCUCAGUCCGGAUUGGAGUCUGCAACUCGACUCCAUGAAGUUGGAAUCGCUAGUAAUCGCAGAUCAGCACGCUGCGGUGAAUACGUUCCCGGGCCUU
rnacentral:rRNA from 1 species